rnacentral:rRNA from 1 species
GAUGAACGCUGGCGGCGUGCUUAACACAUGCAAGUCGAACGGAGUAAUAUGAAGUUUUCGGACGGAUUAUUACUUAGUGGCGGACGGGUGAGUAACGCGUGGGUAACCUACCCCAUACCGGGGGAUAACAGUUGGAAACGACUGCUAAAACCGCAUAACAAGUUGAGACCGCAUGAUCUUAACUUCAAAUAUUCAUGGGGAUGAGAUGGGCCCGCGUCUGAUUAGCUAGUUGGUGGGGUAAUGGCCUACCAAGGCCACGAUCAGUAGCCGGCUUGAGAGAAUUCGCGGCCACAUUAGGACUGGGGCACGGCUCAAACUCCUACGGGAGGCAGCAGUGGGGAAUAUUGGACAAUGGGGGCAACCCUGAUCCCGCGACGCCGCGUGAGUGAAGGAGUCUUUCGGUAUGUGAAGCUCUAUCAGCAGCGAAGAUAAUGACAGUACCUGACUAAGAAGCCCCGGCUAACUACGUGCCAGCCGCCGCAGUAACAC